rnacentral:snoRNA from 1 species
CCGCUUGAAGAAGAAGAGUUGGUCGAGCACAUCCUUACCGGCCUGGACCAUGAGUUCAUGCCACUGGUCUCCGCCAUCAUCGCAAGGACAGAGCCAACCUCUAUUAGAGAGUUAUACUACCAGCUGAUGAGCUUCGAGA